AGCUUUGCGCAGUGGCAGUAUUGUAGCCAAUGAGGUUUAUCAGAGGCGCGAUUGUUGCUAAUUGAAAACUUUUCCCUAUAUCUAAAACAUACACAACAAAACUAUGAGAUGAAAUUUAGCAUACCCACAUG
rnacentral:snRNA from 1 species